AUGAAGACUUUCCUGCUCCUCUUUAUAUCACUGGCCUGCUUGUCAGGUGUCCAGUCUCAGCAACUUGACCAGUCAUCAGACCCAGUGGUGAUAAAGCCCGGGAAUUCCUAUAGAGUCUCAUGUACGGCUUCUGGAUUCACCUUCAGUGAUUACUAUAUGCACUGGCUUAGACAGAGUCCUGGCGGAGGAUUACAGUGGGUUGCUCGGUUUAAUGAAGUAGCAAGCUACACAGCAUAUCAUGAUUCUGUUAAAGGACGAUUCACAAUAAUCAGAGAUAACAGUAAUAACCUGUUAUAUCUACAAAUGACCAACAUGAAGACUGAGGACUCUGCCGUGUAUUAUUGUGCUAGAGAGAGAGACACAUUGAUAGAAGACAAUCUGUGA